GUCCACGCCCUAAACGAUGUCAACUGGUUGUUGGGAGGGUUUCUUCUCAGUAACGAAGCUAACGCGUGAAGUUGACCGCCUGGGGAGUACGGCCGCAAGGUUGAAACUCAAAGGAAUUGACGGGACCCGCACAAGCGGUGGAUGAUGUGGUUUAAUUCGAUGCAACGCGAAAACCUUACCUACCCUUGACAUGUCUGGAAUCCUGCAGAGAUGUGGGAGUGCUCGCAAGAGAACCAGAACACAGGUGCUGCAUGGCCGUCGU
rnacentral:rRNA from 1 species